GACGAACGCUGGCGGCGUGCCUAAUACAUGCAAGUCGAACGCACAGUUUAUACCGUAGCUUGCUACACCAUAGACUGUGAGUUGCGAACGGGUGAGUAACGCGUAGGUAACCUGCCUGGUAGCGGGGGAUAACUAUUGGAAACGAUAGCUAAUACCGCAUAAUAUUAAUUAUUGCAUGAUAAUUAAUUGAAAGGUGCAAUUGCACCACUACCAGAUGGACCUGCGUUGUAUUAGCUAGUAGGUGAGGUAACGGCUCACCUAGGCGACGAUACAUAGCCGACCUGAGAGGGUGAUCGGCCACACUGGGACUGAGACACGGCCCAGACUCCUACGGGAGGCAGCAGGAGGGAAUCUUCGGCAAUGGACGAAAGUCUGACCGAGCAACGCCGCGUGAGUGAAGAAGGUUUUCGGAUCGUAAAGCUCUGUUGUAAGAGAAGAACGGGUGUGAGAGUGGAAAGUUCACACUGUGACGGUACCUUACCAGAAAGGGACGGCUAACUACGUG
rnacentral:rRNA from 1 species